rnacentral:rRNA from 1 species
CGAGCGGACAGAAGGGAGCUUGCUCCCGGAUGUUAGCGGCGGACGGGUGAGUAACACGUGGGUAACCUGCCUGUAAGACUGGGAUAACUCCGGGAAACCGGAGCUAAUACCGGAUAGUUCCUUGAACCGCAUGGUUCAAGGAUGAAAGACGGUUUCGGCUGUCACUUACAGAUGGACCCGCGGCGCAUUAGCUAGUUGGUGGGGUAAUGGCUCACCAAGGCGACGAUGCGUAGCCGACCUGAGAGGGUGAUCGGCCACACUGGGACUGAGACACGGCCCAGACUCCUACGGGAGGCAGCAGUAGGGAAUCUUCCGCAAUGGACGAAAGUCUGACGGAGCAACGCCGCGUGAGUGAUGAAGGUUUUCGGAUCGUAAAGCUCUGUUGUUAGGGAAGAACAAGUGCGAGAGUAACUGCUCGCACCUUGACGGUACCUAACCAGAAAGCCACGGCUAACUACGUGCCAGCAGCCGCGGUAAUACGUAGGUGGCAAGCGUUGUCCGGAAUUAUUGGGCGUAAAGGGCUCGCAGGCGGUUUCUUAAGUCUGAUGUGAAAGCCCCCGGCUCAACCGGGGAGGGUCAUUGGAAACUGGGAAACUUGAGUGCAGAAGAGGAGAGUGGAAUUCCACGUGUAGCGGUGAAAUGCGUAGAGAUGUGGAGGAACACCAGUGGCGAAGGCGACUCUCUGGUCUGUAACUGACGCUGAGGAGCGAAAGCGUGGGGAGCGAACAGGAUUAGAUACCCUGGUAGUCCACGCCGUAAACGAUGAGUGCUAAGUGUUAGGGGGUUUCCGCCCCUUAGUGCUGCAGCUAACGCAUUAAGCACUCCGCCUGGGGAGUACGG